GCCUUAACAGGUAAGCUUAAGGUCUGAAAAAAAUAGUUAACUUUUACCCCCAUUUGUCUUUUAAAGGGAAUCAAUGCAUUAAAAAGGCAAGAAACUCUGAAGUUUCAGGGGCUGCCUGUUCAGUUCCUGUUAGGUCCAUUCCCUCUGCUUGUCACACUUUCUCCUUUUCUGCCUGUCUUUGGGCUGUGUUGCCUUUCACUACCACCUUCUCUUGAUAGGGGAGUGAGAGCAAAGAAAGGGAGUAGAACUGCAAUCAGUACAUAUUGUUUGAGAAGUUCUACAAAGUUUUGUCAUUUAAAUGGUUGAAAGUAAUAGCUCCAGGAGAAUUUUAGAGUACCAUUUUCUUUCAGGCUGCCAUAUUAUCCCUGUUUCCAUUUGCCAUGGAUAAUUGGAGGGUCAUGGUAUAGAAGCAAGAGUUAAUAACAGAACUUGCCUAAAUGUGUUAAAGUUCAUGGGGGAGGGGUGGCAAAUACCGUAUUUUAAGUUAUGCAAUUGCCCUUUUAAGAAAGUCAAUUCUAUUCACUUGUUAACUAGAAACAUUGCUUAGAUUGAAUUUAUUGAAGCAAAAAGAAAAGGCAAUGAGAGAGAACUUUUAUCUUCCUUCCUGUCACAUUCUGUAAAGUUGAUUAUGACUUCUGCCAGACUUAGAGCAACAACUUUAGUUCAUUUUAACAUUUUUUUUUAAUGAAGAGCAUCAAAGAAUGGAGUAGUCCUUAUUUAAACUGUAAUGGUGUCAAGUCUCACUGUGUGCACACUCUCACACAUACACACACAAUUAUACUAAUUCUAGAAAGGAACCAAAGGUAAAUAACCAGUGUUUCCAUUAUCACUAAAUGGAAAAAUUGACUGGAAGUUAGAGUUGUGCCAAUUAAUCAUUUUGUUCAUCAACUGUUCUGGUAACUUAUUUUUUUUUAUUGGAAUCUUAAAUUGGAACAACUGUUACAGAAUGUAUAUUGCUCCAGUUCUAAAGCCAGUUAACCCUGUGCCCUCUAACUUAUGAACCUUCAUUUCAAAACAGUAUGUGGGAAGUCCUGUAGUUUGAUAAGAGUAAAAUUAUUUUAAAGAGGAUAAUUUACCAUUUUACUACUAUAAAAUAAGUUGAUAUCAGUUGACCAUUUUAUUUUUUGAUGGACUCUUUUUGUUGGGAGAAAGAAAUGAAUGGAAGAAAAAAAUAUGUUGCUUUUAUUUGAAUAUUGAUUACUAACAACUUAUAAACUACAUUGCAGGAAAUGAAGAAAUAUUUUGAAAUUAGCAAAAUAGCAACAGUAUUCAAGUAUCUGAAAUUUUAAUAUGACUGCAGUUGACCUCUGAUAACUGGGGUAAGCAAAACUAUGGAUAAAGUGGAACUACUGUGUGUAGAAGAAGAGGCCAUGAAUAGCUAAGGUAAUUUCAAAGAACAAGAUUUUGGAUUUGUUCUACCAGAUAUAAAGAUUCCUGGGACAAAUGAUUAUCUACAAGAAGAAAUAGGAAGAGGC
rnacentral:lncRNA from 10 species